GCAUGGUGGUCUGGUCGUCCAUUGUUCUUCGAAAGCAUUUCGCCAAUACUUUGGAGGCAGAAACAACAUAUUCAAACGUUUCUUACGUGUGUUUCGUGUCGAAAGCAUCAUUUGAGGCCGAUACAAUGGAGAACGAGUGAGAUUUCCGUUUGUAAAGACAGCGAUGACACGCCCGCGCUCUGUGUUGCAAGUUUGGCCGCUUGCCGUUGGGGAUUAUUUGAGUUAUGCCCAUAGUAACCGCUUGUUCUCUGUUGCUAUGGCUAUUUACCCGUAUGUUUUGCUCUCCAGAAGGCAUUGCAACGCACAAGAAAGCAGAUCUUUUCUAUUGUGAAGACAGCGGCGACUCAAUUAGUGUAGCGUAAACAGGAACUUGACAUGAACGCAUCGAAACAAUCAUCAAUAGCUAUGAGAAUUGUAUCAUUCGAAAGCGCAAUUAACAGGCUUUUCAACGGUGUGUGUUUUGUAAUUUUUGCUUCUAUAUUGUGGCUACAGUUCUAAUAAUUGGCAACUGGAAUGUAGAUGACGUGCGCGCGCUACGUUAAAUUAACAUUCUUGGUGAUAUGUGAUAGUGAUAUAAUAG